rnacentral:misc_RNA from 1 species
GUGGGAUCUAGCUGUAGGACAUUGAUAGAUAGCUCUGAGGGAGAUUCUCCAUUCUCUUCUUCUUUGUUUUCAAAGAUUGGCCUGGUAAAAACAUCUGUAAUUUUCAGAAUGUUUUUCAUCAUUCUGAGUGAUUUGUCAAAUCUCUGAUCUCUGAGCAUGUUCCUCCUCCAGAACCUUCCAUCAGUCAAAGCAUCCUCCUCGUAUCCUAACCUGGAGCGACCAUUUCUCUGAAUAGCCGAUAUGGGUUUAAUAAUUCCCUACAAUGUGGC